rnacentral:rRNA from 1 species
UUUAAAUUGAGAGUUUGAUCCUGGCUCAGGAUGAACGCUGGCGGCGUGCUUAACACAUGCAAGUCGAGCGAGGGAGCACCUUCGGGUGUGAACUAGCGGCGGACGGGUGAGUAACACGUGGGCAACCUGCCUUACAGAGGGGGAUAGCCUUCCGAAAGGAAGAUUAAUACCGCAUAUUAUGAUUUUUCUGCAUGGGAAAGUCAUGAAAGGAGCAAUCCGCUGUAAGAUGGGCCCGCGGCGCAUUAGCUAGUUGGUGAGGUAAGGGCUCAC